UGUGCUUUCAAUGAUGCCAGGCAUGAUAGUUCUAUUGGGGUUUUCAUUCUUACUGGCAAGGGGACCAAGGCAUUUUGUAGUGGUGGUGACCAAGCUUUGAGGAUAGCAGAUGGUUAUUUUGAUAAUGAAGAUAUUGGUAGCCUUAAUGUGUUGGACUUGCAGGUUUAUUGAUUGUUGGCAUUUUUUUAUGAGGCAAUUAUUAGUGUUAUUAUGCCAAUAUAUAAGAUUAGUAUGAUUCUUGAUCCCUAGUGUUGUUGAAUCUUACGAUGGGAUUGUAUUUCCUGAACCGUCUGAGGGUUUUCUGGCGUGUGUGCAGAAUCAUCCUGCUGUUGUUGUGCCUAGGCUUCCUGCUGGUUUGAAUUUGCCUAGCCCAGUCAGGAGAUGUCAAGAUUAACUUUCAAUGUGGAGCUUGAUGCUGCUAAUGCAACUUAGUUAUUUAUUAAUAUUUUAGAUUAUCCUAUCU